AAGGUCUUAGCUUAAUUAAAGUGUCUGAGUUGCAUUCAGGUGAUGCGGGGUGAUCUCGCAGUCUUUA
rnacentral:tRNA from 1 species